rnacentral:tRNA from 2 species
GAGCCCGUAGCUCAGCUGGCAGAGCAUCUGACUUUUAAUCAGGCGGUCGAAGGUUCGAAUCCUUCCGGGCUCACCA